UGAGUCACUCCCAGGUGCCUCCAUCAAAAUGUAUUCCUGCUUCUCUGCUCAGUGUUCCUUAACUGUGCUUCUCUUUUUAAGGUUUCAGUGUGGAAUAGAGUACACAAACUCAUUUCUAGAAUGCUUGAAGAAAAUGAAAAAUAUAGACUCAGGCUGAAAUGUCAACGAUUAUCUAGUGAAAACUCAAAUUACACAAGAUGAAUCUUCUUAUCAUCUUCUGGACUAACCUAUCUUUGGAUCUGUUUACCAAAGAAGAUUAUGAAGAGUUUAAAGAUAGAACUUUAAAUUGAAUCGUAAUUAUUUGUUCAUUAUGGCAUUUUUUUUGUUGGAACAGGGACUUAAACAGUUGAAUGGAAAAAUUACCUUUAUAAAUUAAUACUAUUUCUUUGCAAGUUAGUAAAAUUUUUGUUAAAUGUUGUUAUAUGUAUACAAGUAUUAUUUUCAGAAUUAAUAUUUAUCCAUAUACUUUUAAGUUAAACUUAUACAUGAAAUUUAAAUUAGCAUAUCAGUCUAAUUGCAUGCAUUUAAAUUGCCAAUGUUUCCCUUUUAUUAAUGAGGCUAUAACUGCUG